UACGUAGGGCGCAAGCGUUGUCCGGAAUUAUUGGGCGUAAAGAGCUCGUAGGCGGUUUUUCGCGUCUGCUGUGAAAACUCGAGGCUCAACCUCGGGCUUGCAGUGGGUGCGGGCAGACUAGAGUGCGGUAGGGGUGACUGGAAUUCCUGGUGUAGCGGUGGAAUGCGCAGAUAUCAGGAGGAACACCAGUGGCGAAGGCGAGUCUCUGGGCAGUAACUGACGCUGAGGGACGAAAGCUAGGGGAGCGAAUGGG
rnacentral:rRNA from 1 species